rnacentral:rRNA from 1 species
GACGGAGGGUGCUAGCGUUGUUCGGAAUCACUGGGCGUAAAGGGCGCGUAGGUGGCGACCCAAGUCGAUGGUGAAAGCUCGCCGCUCAACGGCGAGUCGGCCACUGAUACUGGGUUGCUGGAGCACUGUAGAGGCAGAUGGAAUUCCGGGUGUAGCGGUGGAAUGCGUAGAGAUCCGGAAGAACACCGGUGGCGAAGGCGGUCUGCUGGGCAGUUGCUGGCACUGAGGCGCGACAGCGUGGGGAGCAAACAGG